CAGUAACUUAACACAUCUUUGAUGAACCGGCUGGCCUCUGUCUCAUCCAUGGGCUGAUGGAAGUGCUGAGGGCAGCAGUAGGCAAGGGAUGUUUGGCUACAGGGACCUGGGGAAAAAAGCUUCUCCCGUAGCCAUCUCCAUCAGCCCACAGCAGAGGGAGAGAAGGAGAUCUUUCCCAAGCCAGUCACCUCUCCACGCUCCCCAAAAUGCAGGAUGGUGACCCUGUCUGAGGGAAGCUGAUGAAGCCCUACAGGAGGGAGAUCUGAGUCAUGAGAGCCUUCUCAUGGAAAUUUACUUCCUGGCCUCCUUUCUGCUGCACACUGAGAACAGAAGAUGAACUAGGACGUGGUAGAGGGAAGCUGCAAUGGUCCCAGAGAGAAGCAGAGGAUUGCUGGCUUAGAAGAAAGCUUGCUUCCCAGGUUUGAGUGUUAGCUGAACCACACAGAGGACUGGCUGUGACCAGACAAAAUGGCCUUGCUGAAUUAAGCCAGACAGAAGAAACAAACCCCCUAAAAAAUCAUGUCCCAACAGGUAAAAGGGUAAGAGCUUGGGAUCAUUGGUAAGGAAACAAGAGCUCCAGGAUAACGUAAUCAGGAACAUCCUUCAACCAAUUACAGCACAUGCACUUUAUCUGCAGAUCUUACCCUUGGUGUUAUUCAGCUCAUAUGCUCUCAAUUCACUACAAAAGAGCAAAAAAUGAGCCAUCGGGAUGAUGUGAGAACCCACUCUUUCUGUCCUCAACCCUGGCUGACAGCACAGCUAAUGAUUUAUUUUCAUUUCUAUGUAUUUUAUGUCAAUCUGAUAGAUGUUCCCAGCAAUGUCAGUGGCAAAACAUCAGACAGUAGCAGAGUGCAGAGCUGAGGGUCCCCUCUCAGCAGCAGCCCUAGGGUGGUUGCUGCUGGAAGGGAGGUGCCGAGAACCUGGCCAGAUAUUCAAGCUUUCAUUUGUUUUGCUGCCCCACUUAAUCCUCACAGCGUCCGAAGCCAGAAACGCUUCACUUAGAUUAAUGAGCCAAACUAAAACAAACCCGCAGGCUUCAAGCACGUGAGCUCCUGUUUAACACUGUGAGACCCGCUACUAACAGCAGCUUGGCUGCAGUACAGCUCACUAAGAAAGCUCUUUUUUUCCCCUUUUGGGCUUUUCUCCAGAGAUGAGGGGCUGGUGAGAGGAUCUGAGGACUGAACCCAUUGGGGUUUGUGCUGCUGCUGCCAACUAAAUCCCCAGUGCCAGCUGAGGUGGGCUGCUAGAUCAUAGAAUCAUUAAGGUUGGAAGGACUACUAAGUUCAUCUAGUCCAACCAUCAGCCCAUUCCUGUGACUGCACUAGCGUGCGUCCCUCACUGCCACAUCUGCCCUGUUCUGGAGCACCUCCAGGGAUGGUAACUCCACCACCUCACUGGGCAGCCUAUUCUGUUACCUCAACACUCUUUGUGAGAAGAAAUCUUUUCCUAAUGUCCAACCUGAACCUUCCCUGGUGCAACUUAAGGCCAUUAGAUGCCUACCGUGCAGCCACUCUGAGCAGCUGCUGGAGGAACUCUGGGCAAAAAGUCAUCAAUUCAGACUUAACACUAAGCAAAAAUAUCUCAUUGGUCUCAUGUUGGAGUAGCUCCCACUUUUUUUCUCAUGUUGGUAAAAGAACUUCACUGCUUUAUGCUUAUGGUGUAUGAAGAGGUCCAAAUCUCUCCUUCCUUUGUUUCUCAG
ensembl:lncRNA